ACCGGCGCACGGGUGAGUAACGCGUAUCCAACCUUCCCGCAAGUAAGGGAUAACCCGUAGAAAUGCGGCCUAAUACCUUAUGCUUGCGGAUGGGGAUGCGUCUGAUUAGUUAGUCGGCGGGGUAACGGCCCACCGAGACGACGAUCAGUAGGGGUUCUGAGAGGAAAGUCCCCCACAUUGGAACUGAGACACGGUCCAAACUCCUACGGGAGGCAGCAGUGAGGAAUAUUGGUCAAUGGGCGGAAGCCUGAACCAGCCAAGUAGCGUGCAGGAUGACGGCCUAUGGGUUGUAAACUGCUUUUAUGCGGGGAUAGGUACCGCAUGAAUAAGGACCGGCUAAUUCCGUGCCAGCAGCCGCGGUAAUACGGAAGGUCCGGGCGUUAUCCGGAUUUAUUGGGUUUAAAGGGAGCGCAGGCCGCCGGGCAAGCGUGUUGUGAAAUGCAGUCGCUCAACGUCUGCACUGCAGCGCGAACUGCCCAGCUUGAGUGCGCGCAACGUUGGCGGAAUUCGCCGUGUAGCGGUGAAAUGCUUAGAUAUGGCGAAGAACUCCGAUU
rnacentral:rRNA from 1 species